UACGUUCCCGGGCCUUGUANACACCGCCCGUCACACCCACGAAAGCGAGCAACACCCGAAGCCGGUCGCCUAACCCCUUACGGGAAGGAGCCGUCGAAGGUGGGGGCCCCGUGAUUGGGGUG
rnacentral:rRNA from 1 species